AUCAGCAACACUAUCCCUCUUACAAGGCUAGCCGCCUAAUCAGAUCGCCAUCGAACAGUUCAAGGCAUGAGCACCUCUGCCUUCCACCUCUGUUUAAGGUUAGAAUGAAGCCACUGGAAAUCGUUGUUAGCCCCCUUCUUCCUUGCCAAUCAAAGCCUCGAAAGCUCUCUAAUCUAUAUGGAUCACAGCCACCGUAAGUCGCCCUUGGCGCCACCAACCACCAAUUUUGCUUUUCUUCUUUCCUUUUAUGAAAUUCUCAAG
rnacentral:lncRNA from 1 species